rnacentral:rRNA from 1 species
UACAGAGGGGGCAAGCGUUGUUCGGAAUCACUGGGCGUAAAGGGCGCGUAGGCGGCGCGGGCAGUCAACGGUGAAAGCUUGGGGCUCAACCCCGAGUCGGCCGUCGAUACUCCCGGGCUGGAGCACUGUAGAGGCAGGUGGAAUUCCGGGUGUAGCGGUGGAAUGCGUAGAGAUCCGGAAGAACACCGGUGGCGAAGGCGGCCUGCUGGGCAGUAGCUGACGCUGAGGCGCGACAGCGUGGGGAGCAAACAGG